UAUCGAAACCCUACCAUCGAAUUCCAGUAAAUGUGCCAAACUUGUCCGGUGUCUCACUGUACCACGCGGGAUUCUGGGAUUUUGCGCGUUCUUGGAACAUCAGAAAAUGGGCAUGUGAGGGGCCAGAAGCACGUACUCCUCUUUCGAUAUUGUGUAAGAUGCAAACUUAUGCAACAUCAAUUUGUGAACCGAUUCUGUUAUCGCCAGACGAUAUUAAGUUUGUUCGUUUGGAGCUAUUUUAGAAUUGGAUCACGCUGUGGUGGAACUGAAGAUGUUGCGGCACCCUUCUCUGUGUUAUCCUUGCCUAAUCAAUUUAUCUAUUGAAUGUAGCUUCGGUCAUGCUAAAUUAAGAUCUCACAUUGACAGGUUGAUAUGAAUGUGCGAACCCCUUUAUUUUA